rnacentral:rRNA from 1 species
AUUGAACGCUGGCGGCAUGCUUUACACAUGCAAGUCGAACGGUAACAGGCCUUCGGGUGCUGACGAGUGGCGAACGGGUGAGUAAUGCAUCGGAACGUGCCCAAUCGUGGGGGAUAACGUAGCGAAAGUUACGCUAAUACCGCAUAAGCCCUGAGGGGGAAAGCAGGGGAUCGCAAGACCUUGCGCGAAUGGAGCGGCCGAUGUCAGAUUAGCUAGUUGGUGGGGGUAAAGGCCUACCAAGGCGACGAUCUGUAGCGGGUCUGAGAGGAUGAUCCGCCACACUGGGACUGAGACACGGCCCAGACUCCUACGGGAGGCAGCAGUGGGGAAUUUUGGACAAUGGGCGCAAGCCUGAUCCAGCCAUGCCGCGUGCGGGACGAAGGCCUUCGGGUUGUAAACCGCUUUCAGCCGGAAAGAAAUACGCCAAGGCUAAUAUCCUUGGUGGAUGACGGUACCGGAAGAAGAAGCACCGGCUAACUACGUGCCAGCAGCCGCGGUAAAG